CCUACGGGAGGCAGCAGUGAGGAAUAUUGGUCAAUGGGCGCGAGCCUGAACCAGCCAUGUAGCGUGAAGGAUGACUGCCCUACGGGUUGUAAACUUCUUUUAUAAAGGAAUAAAGUGAGGCACGUGUGCCUUUUUGUAUGUACUUUAUGAAUAAGGAUCGGCUAACUCCGUGCCAGCAGCCGCGGUAAUACGGAGGAUCCGAGCGUUAUCCGGAUUUAUGGGGGUUAAAGGGAGCGUAGAUGGGUUGUUAAGUCAGUUGUGAAAGUUUGCGGCUCAACCGGAGAAUUGCAAUUGAUAAUGUCAGACUUGAGUGCAGAUGAGGUAGGUGGAAUUCGUGGUGUAGCGGUGGAAUGCUUAGAUAUCACGAAGAACACCAAUUGCGAAGGCGGCCUACUAAACUGCAACUGACACUGAUGCUCGAAAGCAUGGGUAGCAAACAGGAUUAGAUACCCGAGUAGUC
rnacentral:rRNA from 1 species